UGUUUUAAAAAAUGUAAGUAGCUCUGGAUAAGAGUGUCUGCUAAAUGACUAAAA
rfam:Salmo salar isolate Sally breed double haploid chromosome ssa04, whole genome shotgun sequence.